rnacentral:tRNA from 1 species
GCCUCCGUAGCUCAGCCUGGCAGAGCACUCGCCUCUUAAGCGAAGUGUCGUAGGUUCGAAUCCUACCGGGGGCA